UGUUACUUGUCACACACUCACCACUAUUGAAUCUGCUUAGCUUAAGAAAUGACUUGUACUCUCACUGAUUCACAUCACUAGGACUGGUUCGACAUUCACCCCACUAUACUACAACAUUUGCAAUAGGCAGAAAAACCUAUUAUCAGAAAACUGCUCUCGUUAAACUUAUGUUUUCUUGUAGUGGAUGGCGUAGUUCGAUCAAAAGAACUAAUUUCUUGAAAGUAGCAGCGGUUAACGCCUUGGUGAAUAAGUCAGAAGAAUUGUCACUUGAACGAACUUGUAGGACACGAACAUUACCAUUCUUCUGCAUUGCAUGUCUUGAUAUGAUUCAUGUUGAUUAUUGAUAAGACUCAUGAUCUUAAAGGAUUUAGAACGAUGAUACACUUUCAUUUUUGAAAUUAUAACAUUCCUUUUAAGGUGUCUAUCAUUUGUGUAUUCUUUGUUGUCUCGUUAAAACCUUGUCAUGGAAAAACCCACUAGGAUAAAAAUCAAUAGUACAACCACACAUAUUAUUACAUUUAUUCCCCUGGAAGCAAUAUCUUCACGAUAUGCAUUCCGAACAAAUAGAUUUCUUUAAGAAAUUGAGCUUAGCAGAAUAAACUGUUUUAAUUUAUACUAGUGGUUUUCCCGGACUACGCCCGGGUUUUCUUUAAUAAAUUUUAGUUUAGUUUAAUUUAAUUUAUUAUAUUAUUUUUUUGAAUAUAUAUAUAUAAUUGUUGUGAAUAGAAAGAAAGAGGAAAUCAAUUAUUCUUAUUAUUGCUCCAUACACAACGAUAUAUAUAUAUAGCAAUACAAACUAGGGUUUAGAAGCUUCUAGAAAGUGGGCUUAUUGGCCUACAUGGACAUUCACAUAAUAGUUCCUAACACUCUCCUUUGGAUCGAUGUACAUUAUAAAAAAAUAUUUCGUAAAGUGCAUAAGAUGCUACCUCGUUAAAAACUUUACCAGGAAAACCUAGUGGGAAAAACCAUGGUGAAGGGAAAAAAAGUGCAGCGUGCAUCUACUCCCCCUGAUGAGAACAUAAAUUGAGGUAUCUGAUAGUACAUAAUCCAAUGUGAUGAAUUAACUUAUUCUUCUUGGGGUUGGAUCAGUUUACUUCUUUUGGUAGAUUUGACAUUCCUCACUAAAACUUGAAUGUCUUAGUGACCGUAGGACAAAAUGACUUAAAACCACUUGGAAAUUGAAGCUAACAUCCAUGUCUAACUUUAUGCACCGAUCUGGCUCUGUUAAGAUGGAAAUAUCGAGCGGUAUUUUGAAUAUCAUACAAAAUUAGAUAUUGUGAGACAGCUUGUACAUGUCCCACGAAAACAGCCAUAUCUCGAGUUCUAUAAUGGAUAAUGACUUGAUUCAAAUUGGAGAUGAAAAUAGACUCAAAGAUAUUUCUCUGGACUCCAAUUUCAUAUUUUAAUUUCAUCUAAAAGGUUUCCUUUGAUUGGAAAACUUUUGACCUUUGAUUAUGUCUCAAGAAUGGAAUGUGUUCAUACAUUGAUUCUUUUUCAAGUAUAAUUGAUCUAUCUCAUUUUCUCCUGCUUCUUAAAUCUUGAAAAAUACUUUGGAAGAUUGAUGACAUUCCUCUUUAGGUGUAUAUCAUUAUCGUGUUAUUUGUUGCCUCGUUAAAACCUUGACAUGGAAAACCCAAUUGGACAAAAACCAUGAUAAGGAAAAACAGUACAACUACAAACAUCAUCAUAUUUCUCCCCUUGGAAGCAUCAUUUUAGAGAAAUGUUUUCUCAUCAUAUAUAUCUUCCUUUUAAGAAUUGAUAUAAGCAUAUCCUUAGUAAUAAACUCGUUUGAUUGUCAGAUAAUCUCUUAGACCAUUGGACUUCUUAUCCAUAGCAUUAUUUUCACACAAAAUAUCAUAUCUUGGUCUAUUUGUACUCCUUGUCCAAGUUUCUUUUUAUAGACAAUCUUCUAAACCUUCACAUUAUGCAUACUUAUACAUACGAGUUAUUAUUUUGCUUCUUGUAAAAGUUACAAAUAUGACUAUCCCUCUUGUCAUACCAAAUCACAUCUUUCAAUCAUGAAAGAGAUCAGUAAAUUUCCAAUAUCAUGGUACUUCAUGACCAAUACUUUUUCUUUCUUUUAUAUGCUCAAUAUACUCGAUCGGUAAAUUGAGGGCUAGACAUGAGUAUGCACCUGAGAAGUUUGUGGAGACAAUGAAGCUAAUGGAACAUGGGUACGGAGCAAAGGAGUUUGUGACGAGCAAGGAAGGUAUCUUAGACCUUUUGGCUCCGGGGACUUAUUAUCUGAAAGAGGUUGAUUCAUUGUACCGGAGAUUCUAUGGCAAGAAAGGAGACGAUGGAUCCAUAACCAAUGGACACUGAUUCUUAAAAGCAUAAAUCACUUGAAAGAUGGUGUCUACUCAUCGCUCUUUAUGUUUACUUUCCAAAAUUUAUAAGGUUCUUGUUACUUUGAUUUAGGGACAGUUUGCAUGCUCUUGUUUUUAUUUAUUUGCCAUUGAUUCGAUUCUCUGAAGCUUUUUUUUUUUUC